UACGGAGGGGGCUAGCGUUGUUCGGAAUUACUGGGCGUAAAGCGCGCGUAGGCGGCUUUGUAAGUUAGAGGUGAAAGCCCGGGGCUCAACUCCGGAACUGCCUUUAAGACUGCAUCGCUUGAAUCCAGGAGAGGUGAGUGGAAUUCCGAGUGUAGAGGUGAAAUUCGUAGAUAUUCGGAAGAACACCAGUGGCGAAGGGCGGCUCACUGG
rnacentral:rRNA from 1 species